rnacentral:rRNA from 1 species
UCGAGAAUCAUUCGCAAUGGGCGAAAGCCUGACGAUGCGACGCCGUGUGAACGAAGAAGGCCUUCGGGUCGUAAAGUUCUUUCGAUUGGGAACAAGAAAGAUCAGCUAAUAACUGGUCAAUUUGAGGGUACCAGUAGAAGAAGCACCGGCUAACUCCGUGCCAGCAGCUGCGGUAAUACGGAGGGUGCAAGCAUUAAUCGGAUUUAUUGGGCGUAAAGGGCGCGUAGGCGGGGAUGUAAGUCAGAUGUGAAAUCCCGGAGCUCAACUCCGGAACAGCAUUUGAAACUGCAUCUCUUGAGGAUAGGCGGAGAAAAUGGAAUUCCACAAGUAGCGGUGAAAUGCGUAGAUAUGUGGAAGAACACCAGUGGCGAAGGCGGUUUUCUAGCUUAUUCCUGACGCUAAAGCGCGAAAGCAAGGGGAUCAAACAGGAUUAGAUACCCGUGUAGUCC